CCCUCUGCUGGUUGUCUUCCUGUGACAGAACAGAGAAAAGGGAGGAAGUUGUUCUUUUCUCCAAGCACACUGACAAACUGAUAGAUUUGGUUCAUUCGUCACUUUAUUCCAAUUCCAACAUUUUGGACUAAAAGCGAUUGACAUUGCAGGGGAGAAUAAAGGAAAUGACAUCACAGGUGAAUGGAAAGGUGAUGAUUGUUUUAGAUGCAUCAGCGUCUUUGCAGAUGUUUAGGAGUAAAGUCUGCUCCUGACCUGCAGACGUGCAGCGGAAUCAUCUUUCGUUUCAAUAAAUCACAUUGUGAGCGCUAAAGUGAUCUGUUAACAUCUAUGCCUCCAACUUGUGGAAGAGUUCUGCCAGAAAUUCCCACAUUCCAAGACAAAAACGUCUCCCAGCUGGGGUCUUUCUGCGUGGAGUUUGUGUGUUCUCCUCGUACAUGUGUGGGUUUGCAUGGUCCAGAAACAUGCUUCAUGGGUUCAUUGGUGACUCCCAGUGGAGUCAUGGGGGUUUGUCUCUGCGUGGGCCUGUAAUGGACUGUCCAGGGGGAGUCCCGCCUUCACCUUUCAGCAGCUGGGAUAGUCCCCAGCAACCCUAGAAUGGACGUAUAGAUCUGUAUCAGGUUCUACGUGUUCCCUGGUUCCAAAGUUGACUGGCCUGAGGGGAAGAAGCUCCGCCUCAUUCUGGUUUUGCCGUCAUGCAGCAAAAGCCACCUGGACAGGUGAGGUCCCUCCAGAGUCCUCUCCUUGGUCCACAGCCAUUUUAGUCAUGAAUGCGGAAAAUGAAUCAGUUUAGUGUAACCCAGGUUACUAGGAUUUGUUAGAGGAGUUUUUUCUAUCCUGUAGAGGGCGCUGUAGGUUGGGAAGCACAUAAGAACAUGGCGGAGGGAUACGUGAGUUAUGUGAUCUGUGAGCUGGACUUCAGGUUGGAAGAGAACGUGAGCAAGUUGUCCACAUUCUUUUAUAUGUUUUCCCUGGAAAGAAAGACAGUUAUCUUCGAGAUAUUGCCUCCCAGAUAAUACGUUUUUUGUUUGACAUUGACAAAGGAUUUGGUGAGUCAAAUAAUUAAUAUAUAAUCGAUAUUUUUUCUUUAUUAUAAAAUAUGACUUAUUUUGAUAUUGUUUUUUAUAUGUAAGAUGAUUGCAGACAAAAUGACAUUAUUUGGAGUUUUCUUUAGUAUCUUGACUGACUUAGAACUGAGCUAAUGAGCCACGAGGUGCCGUUAGCUUAGCAAGCUAACAUUCGUGUGAACUAGCCGUUAGCGUGGCCAGUAUUUAAGUGCUGUGACUGAACUGUAUAUGUAUUUAUAUAUAUUUUAUUUUGUAUUGCACUUGCAUGACUGUGUGCAUGUGUGGAUUCACCACCGUCGUGAGAACACACCGCAGAGAAUUGAAGUAUGGUGAUGGCGAGCCGCCCACGGAAGUCUGAACACGAACAACAGUAAAAUGACCUUUGAACCCUGAUUGUUACAAAGGAGAAACUGAACACUGCGUUCGAUCGUGGUAGGAGACUGACAACAGGCGCUGAGUCACCGGGAUCUGAAAGAACUGCUUCAGGACGGAACAGACUUCUCAUUUCUUUUUUGUUUUGAUUUAGAGAAUUUUUUUUAUUUUUUUAUUGACUUUUUGUGAACCAAUAUGGUAUAAUGAGUUUAAAUUGAAAAACUGUAAGAUUCAUUAAAGGAAGAGUAUUUUUGUUGUUGAAAACCUUGCAAGAUAAAAUUUGACCAACUAAUUUUUUUUCGAUAUAAAUUUUAUUUGGGUUUUCAGGUUUAAUUGUUCGUGUAAUCAUUUGAGUAUUUGAUAGUUAGCAUCCAUUUAUAAAUAACUUAAUAGUUAAUAUUCAUUAUUGUGGUUACUUAUUUUCUUAAGUCUAUUCAGCUGCUGCUCUGAACCUACAGUUUAUUCUGGUCCAACUCACACAAUGUGAGUGUUAAUUCACACACAACUGCUUUUAAUCUACACAACUGAUGGUUAGAUUAGAAGAGGGGACAUCAGAUUCCUGUGAAAAUAUUGAAAGUAUUCAAAUAAAAUGUUCUGCUUCCAUUCAGACAGCUUAGUGUCCAUAACAGGGUUGAAGUGUUUCUGGAACCACAUCUAGAAAAAAAGGAUCCAAGAUAAAUGGAAACAAACGCCUGAGAUGGGAAAAUGUUCUUUUCUGAUAGUUAGACAUUUCCUUGAUUACUUGGAAUAUACCUACAAAUAAAACAACAAGUCCAAAGAAGUCUGUGGACCGUCUGACGUCCUGCAGACUAGGACACAAGAACAGAGAUGUGUCUUUGACUUUAGGCUCUAACAUUGCAGCGUUCACAUCUUUCAAAGCACAAACUGAAGGUUGUGGUUGUUUGAAGAGCACGACAUGCGAUGAUGACUCUGUUCUUUCUGGGGGCAGAUCACUUGUUUUCUGAGCUAAAAGCUAAAUGGUUGAAGCUCUCAGAAGGUUUUUUAUUAAAGCUGACGUGCAUUUCUGUUCUUGUUGCUCCUCAAAAACUUCUCAAACUGGAGCCCCCGCCCAUAAAAGCCUGGAAGUCCUGCUUGUAAAGCUGAAGUGUUGAAAACCGGCCGCAGUGCAGUGAGGAAGAGCGAUGAUGACGGCGCUGAAGUGUCGCAGGGGAAGCCAGCCUCCAGCGGAACGCCCACUUAGAGCCGAGCUGUAGCACAUUUAUCUGCUGCAGGAGGACAUGCGGCGGCAGGAAACGUCAGUGUGGAGCGGCGUCGGUUCUCACGUCCACGCCAACAACCGCUGACUGUCGCCACAGGAGGCCGGAGCGGCUGACUCAGCGGCUCUCAGGCAGACGGGAAGUUGGGCAAAAACUCACUUAGGAGGCAGUUCGGCCGAGGACAGGAAAACAACCGAAUAAAUCCGCUGACUUUGUUUAGCAGACUCAGUCGUUGUUCGUCACGAUGGCGUGUCAAGAAAAAAAAAACACGUUCAAAGCAGAAAAAUAGACGUCAAGUUUAUGAAAAACCCAAUAAAAGAGAGAGAAGAGCUGAGAGUUGUGACAACGUUCCCGGAUAAUUAUCAUUAUGAUCUUUUUAGCUGAAAGCCAAACAUCCGUGUUGUUUUCUCGGCCACAGAUGUUUCUGUUGGCGUGGUGCACCCCCGCCCCCCUUCCCGUCACCCCACAGCUAAUGCUAAAGGGGAGCAACAUUGGAGCCGUCCAGUUCUGAUCCAGUUCUGAUCCAGACGUGUAAAACGAAGACGAUCUGCAGCUCGAGACCCCGCCCACUGUAUUUGUGAUGUCACUAAUACCAUCAUUUUCCAAAAGCACUUUUCAUCUGCUCUUAAAUGACAAUUUGAAGAAAGAAAUGCAAUUUUAAUCUCAAUUCUCUUCGUCAAUGUCUUCUAUCAUCAGAAAAAAGCACUAAGGACAUUUUAAAACCUUAAGUUUAGUCAAAGUGGAUCUUUAAAGACUGCAUUCAUACUGAAAUAUGUAUUAUUAUUCUUUAAUUGUCAAAUGUAUGACGCUGUAUGGAUAUGUGUAAAAAACUGAAAACUCAAA